rnacentral:rRNA from 1 species
UACGGAGGGGGCUAGCGUUGUUCGGAAUUACUGGGCGUAAAGCGCACGUAGGCGGCUUUGUAAGUUAGAGGUGAAAACCCGGGGCUCAACUCCGGAAUUGCCUUUAAGACUGCAUCGCUAGAAUUGUGGAGAGGUAAGUGGAAUUCCGAGUGUAGAGGUGAAAUUCGUAGAUAUUCGGAAGAACACCAGUGGCGAAGGCGACUUACUGGACACAUAUUGACGCUGAGGUGCGAAAGCGUGGGGAGCAAACAGG